GCUCUUGUACUUAAGCAGCGCUGGUGCGCACGCGGAGCUCGUGAGUACGCCGAGCUCUUGCAAGCCUGGCCCACGCUCUUCUAGGUGUACGUUCCCCAUCGCUCUCACCUGCCCAAGUCUCGGGGCCGCUGGCAUGACGCCGGGGAGAGCUCAGAGCGAGGAGGAGAUGGUAGAGACCACCGUCUACAUCUCCAACGGGAAGGCGCAUCUUACUACCCAGCAGAAAGAAGAAAACCUCUCUGGGCCAGGACAGCCCAGGCACUGAGAAGCCUCCAUAUUUUGGACGCCCAGCUCCUCCAAUGGACUCCUCGGUUAUUACGGCCCCUCCGAACUACUCCUUUUCCCUAUAAUAAAAAUGCAUAAGCCAUUGCAGGACCCACGUAAACUUACUAAGGUGGACAUCGAUGGAGGGACGGCAAGGCCGAGACCUGGAUGAAUCCCUCACACCAUCCCCCGCUCAACAUGACUCCCAGACAGGCCUCCUCUGUCGGGAGGGGGAUCAACCCUGCCCCCCACCCAAGAUGGGCUUGGUUGUCAAGAUGAUGCCAUUUGCACCAAGAGGAUCAGAAGAUAGUUGGUAAUGUGGGGAGAUGGACGCAGGUGUACGCUCUUGCAGGUGGCCAGAGGAAGAGCUGGUGCGGCCUCCGUCGUGGCUGGGCGUUUAUGAGGACUCGGUGGUCUCUGAGGAUGUGGCUGCGGACUUCACCUGGGCAGAGUGGGCUUUGCUAAGUCCUGUUCAGAGGAACUCUACAGAGAUGUGAGGCUUCGAGCCUUCAGGAACUUGGCCUCAGCAGUGAGCUCCUGGGAGACGAAGACCUUAUUAAGGGUCACGGGUUACAGCCUGGAGAUAUUGGAAAAGACGUCAAAAAAGGGACUCUCUACAACCACGUUGGAAAGGACCAUACCAGCUACUCUUAACAAAUCCCUGGGGGGGCAAAACUUAAAGGACUAAAUCUCUUGGAGUCACGUCUCUCACCUCAGAAGGGCCUCCCCUCCUGAAUGGACUGCAACCUCUAUUUGUGACACCCCACUUGCAUUAAGAGAGGCUCCAUCAGACCAGGAUGAGAGGAACACGGCAGCAGUGGUAGACAGCCACCCCAAGAGUCCAGACCAGACCUGUAAGAAACCGCCUCUCUCCAUCAAAAUG